rnacentral:ncRNA from 2 species
ACCAAUAAGGGAGCGUUGAAGCAUUAUCCUCAUAUGGUCACUUGGAUAGUGUGGAGCGAGUAGUGAAACCGGCCUUUAAAAGG